UGGUGGAGCGAUUUGUCUGGUCAAUUCCGAUAACGAACGAGACUCUAGCCUACUAAAUAGUUCGGGGACCCCCACAAAGGGGCCCCGCUUCAACUUCUUAGAGGGACAGGUGGCUUUUAGCCACACGAGAUUGAGCAAUAACA
rnacentral:rRNA from 1 species